rnacentral:rRNA from 1 species
GUCUAUGGCCAUGCCACCCUGAACACGCCUGAUCCCGUCUGAUCGCAGAAGCUAAGCAGGGUCGGGCCUGAGUAUAGUAUUUGGAUGGGAGACCACCCGGGAAGUCCUGGUGCUGUCGGCG